rnacentral:misc_RNA from 1 species
UUUGCUCUACUAUUUCAUCAUGGAUUUCCAUUCGCUAACAUCUUUGCUAAUUAAUUCUCUUUUCCUUCAUAGCAAAAUCAUUCUUUAUAUAUUCCUUCAAUGUAAAAUUAUGCAACUUACACAUUUACCUACUCAUACAGAACUCUAUGCUAUCAAAAAGAUUAGUUUGGGAUUAUAUUCCUGUUUUUCUUUCUAGUCUUUCAGCCCAUAGAUUCUUAUUCUUACCUUCGCCCAUGAAGCUAGGUUAGUUACCAUAUUGGCCACUUGAGUACUGAAAAUCCAGAUUCUUAUUCUCCAAAACUUUAAGCCAUCAUGGAGGAAACAUUUAUUCCUUUCCAUGGUAUAAAAAUGAUCUCAAAGAAAGGCUUUUGUGCUAGAAACAAAACUGGAAUGGUGGUUUCUGUGCCAGUAUCAAGUUUGAAAAGUUGAAGCCAAAACAUGAAUCACCAAACCGAACCAAAUUAAUUGACUCAGUUUGGUUCUAUCCAUAUUUUCGGUGGUUUGGUUCUCAUAUUUUAGCAUUUUGGUUAUCUGGUUUGUUUGAUUCAGUUUGAAACCGAAGUAACCAUUUGCACAACCCUAGUUGUUGCUACUACCACCACCACCAGCCCCUCAACUGCUGCCAUCACCACCAACAAAUAAUCAAAUGGAUAUAGGAAAAAAAAAAGUUGUAUUUACAACCAAACAUAGGAUUAGAAUCACCAUUACGUUAGAUUCUCAUUCCAUUAAAUUUUCAUUAUACCACAUUCCAUUGUAUCCUACAAAACAUAAUUUAAACGUAUCAUCAAUUUACAAAGAAGUUCAUUUAGCCUAUAUUAACCAUGCUUCUAGACAUAGGUAGAAUAUCUUAUCCUCUAAAUCAUAUAUUGAUAUUUGAGGCAAGAAUUUCGAAGAGCAAGGCCAAGCAAACAAGAAACAAUCACACAGCUACCUCAACAAGGAAUCUUAAGACUUCCAACUCCUAUUUUGAAAUAAAAGUUGGGAUUAAAGAUAAAAGAAUAAAAAAAUUUUAACGAGAAAAAAUUAUAACAAGAAAACUCACAUGCCAUCACCAAACUCCUCAUUA